rnacentral:rRNA from 1 species
ACACAGGUGCUGCAUGGCUGUCGUCAGCUCGUGUCGUGAGAUGUUGGGUUAAGUCCCGCAACGAGCGCAACCCUCGCCUUUAGUUGCCAUCAUUCAGUUGGGCACUCUAAAGGGACUGCCGGUGAUAAGCCGCGAGGAAGGUGGGGAUGACGUCAAGUCCUCAUGGCCCUUACGGGCUGGGCUACACACGUGCUACAAUGGCGGUGACAGUGGGAUGCAAAGGGGCGACCCCUCGCAAAUCUCAAAAAGCCGUCUCAGUUCGGAUUGUACUCUGCAACUCGAGUGCAUGAAGUUGGAAUCGCUAGUAAUCGUGGAUCAGCAUGCCACGGUGAAUACGUUCCCGGGCCUU